GACGAACGCUGGCGGCGUGCCUAAUACAUGCAAGUCGAACGAGGGCGCCCGGUGCUUGCACUGGUCAAUCUAGUGGCGAACGGGUGAGUAACACGUGGGUAACCUGCCCAUCAGAGGGGGAUAACAUCCGGAAACGGAUGCUAAAACCGCAUAGGUCUUCGAACCGCAUGGUUUGAAGAGGAAAAGAGGCGCAAGCUUCUGCUGAUGGAUGGACCCGCGGUGCAUUAGCUAGUUGGUGAGGUAACGGCUCACCAAGGCCGUGAUGCAUAGCCGACCUGAGAGGGUGAUCGGCCACAUUGGGACUGAGACACGGCCCAAACUCCUACGGGAGGCAGCAGUAGGGAAUCUUCCGCAAUGGACGCAAGUCUGACGGAGCAACGCCGCGUGAGUGAAGAAGGUUUUCGGAUCGUAAAACUCUGUUGUUAGAGAAGAACAAGUGCUAGAGUAACUGUUAGCGCCUUGACGGUAUCUAACCAGAAAGCCACGGCUAACUACGUG
rnacentral:rRNA from 1 species